AGAGUUUGAUCAUGGCUCAGGACGAACGCUGGCGGCGUGCCUAAUACAUGCAAGUCGAACGCUUUUUCUUUCACCGGAGCUUGCUCCACCGAAAGAAAAAGAGUGGCGAACGGGUGAGUAACACGUGGGUAACCUGCCCAUCAGAAGGGGAUAACACUUGGAAACAGGUGCUAAUACCGUAUAACACUAUUUUCCGCAUGGAAGAAAGUUGAAAGGCGCUUUUGCGUCACUGAUGGAUGGACCCGCGGUGCAUUAGCUAGUUGGUGAGGUAACGGCUCACCAAGGCCACGAUGCAUAGCCGACCUGAGAGGGUGAUCGGCCACACUGGGACUGAGACACGGCCCAGACUCCUACGGGAGGCAGCAGUAGGGAAUCUUCGGCAAUGGACGAAAGUCUGACCGAGCAACGCCGCGUGAGUGAAGAAGGUUUUCGGAUCGUAAAACUCUGUUGUUAGAGAAGAACAAGGAUGAGAGUAGAACGUUCAUCCCUUGACGGUAUCUAACCAGAAAGCCACGGCUAACUACGUGCCAGCAGCCGCGGUAAUACGUAGGUGGCAAGCGUUGUCCGGAUUUAUUGGGCGUAAAGCGAGCGCAGGCGGUUUCUUAAGUCUGAUGUGAAAGCCCCCGGCUCAACCGGGGAGGGUCAUUGGAAACUGGGAGACUUGAGUGCAGAAGAGGAGAGUGGAAUUCCAUAUGUAGCGGUGAAAUGCGUAGAUAUAUGGAGGAACACCAGUGGCGAAGGCGGCUCUCUGGUCUGUAACUGACGCUGAGGCUCGAAAGCGUGGGGAGCGAACAGGAUUAGAUACCCUGGUAGUCCACGCCGUAAACGAUGAGUGCUAAGUGUUGGAGGGUUUCCGCCCUUCAGUGCUGCAGC
rnacentral:rRNA from 1 species